UAAAAAAAUAAAUUUUAUUGAUCUUUUUUGAUUUUAGAUCACCUAAAUUUCCCUUGGGCUUUCCCUCCCCUCUACUACCUACCCCCAAAUAAAAUUAUAUAGACAAAGUGUAUAUUAUUUAAUUUGUUUUUUAAUUAAUUUCUAAAAUAAUGCUUCCUGUUAGCAUGAACAAUUUUAAAUUGACUGAAAAAUACUAGUUAUGAGAGUUUUGAGGGAGUCAGGUUAGGGCUUGUGUCUGCAAUUUUGAAAAUGGGAGGGAUUAAUGGGAAAAUUCAUAAGAAAGAAGGCUUCUGUGACAGGUUCUCUUUCUUACUGAUAAUGAAUGAUUUCACUAGUAGAUAUGAGUAGAUCUUCAGAGACAUGACAUUCCAGAAAACUACUAAUGGAAGUUUAGGUUGUGGACAAUUCCCAUUCUACCCGUCAACCCCUCAUAUUCAGAUGAGUUAAGAAAUUAAUUUUGAGACAUAUAGACCAUCAAGACUCUUCAGAGAAAUCCCACUCUCAAGAGCCUAGAAAACAAGAACCAUGUUCCUGGACCCUCUCUAGGAACAAGAGAUACACAUUCAUGACCUAAGAAAGGAAAGCACUGGUUGCCAGGUGCAGGCUAUAGUGUUUCAUAGAAGAAAAUUCUUCCAUAAACACACUCACUUCCUAUGCCCAGUUACUUACUCUGAAGGCUGACUUGAGGGAUGCUUAGGAUAAGAUAACUAGCAAGAUACUAGAGAAAGAACAUUGUUAGCCACUUGACCUCUGGAUUCUGUAACUGUGGUAGUAGACAAUCAGCAGUCAACUCAGUCACUAUUCUAAGCUUCACUUUGGAUGAUAUGAAUUCUGGGAGGUGAUGAAACUGGGGAAAUGAGUGAUGGUGAUGGUAAGACUAUAGAUGGAAACUAUAUUAAACCAGGAAGAUGCUGGAACUAUGAAGCUCUCUUACAGAGUAAAGAUGCAUAUAAAGAACUAAAAUCAUCACCAAUGACAGGAGAGGCAUCCCAGACAGUCCCUGAGAAGAAAAAUGAUAAAUUAUCCACCAAAGGAAAAAAAGAACAUUCUAGUAAAAGGAAAAAAAGGGGGAAAAGAUCCCUGAACAAAAGUGAUAAAAUGCAGAGGCUAUCUGCAUUUGAAAUUCCAGUCGUUGUACGUCUUCCUGGACUAAAAGUGGCUAAGAGCAAGUCAUCUAAGCCUCGUAUUCCAGCAUGGCCUUGCCCCAAAGAAAAUGAACUUCAAGUAGCAACUUAUUUGGCUGCUCUGCAAAACAAGAUUGAGCAGACUUAUACAGAACCCAGAUUGGUGCCAAACAGACCAAAGGAAGCUCAAGCAAACGAAGAUGAACAAAUAGAAAUUAUCAGUUUGUAUGAAGAAGAUGAGAUUGAAAAGAAAAUUGUUCUACCUGGUCCAUGUCGAAGCUGGGAUGAUCUAUUCACCAAUAAAGGAAAACCCUCAAGACUUUCUGAUGUGUCUCUGUCAAUUACAAGUCUAAUACAACAAUUAGCCUUAGACAAAGUAGUUGCUGUCACUAAGGAUUUGUUUAGAAAUGGAAGGGAAGGUCAGAACAAGCACACCUCUGCUCCACCUAUGUAUCCAGCACAAAAGACCACUUUCUCUUCAUUUCAUAAGAAAGAGCCAGUUUUCCAAAUGGGAAAAAAGCAGCCUUCCUCCUUGACAAGUUUUGGGUUAGAGCUACAGGCCAAAAUGCCUCCUCCAGACAGAAACUGCCGCAGGACCAGGAAUUUUCUUUCAGUAACUAAACAAUUUGCAGAAAAGGAAAGUGAAUUAUACAAGUUUCAGAGUCAGCAAGAGAGUGAUUUUUCUCCCACAACCAGUCCCUUCAUUAGAAAAAAGGAACUAUGCUCAGGGUUUAUGUGUGUGGUCAAUGCUUGGACUGUUUCACAACCAGUGCCUACAAUGCAGGAUGGCAAUUUACUUCCAGAAAAAAUUUUCAUGCCACAAAAGCCAAGACGUACUACAUUUAAUAAAACAUUCAAAUGAUGUUACUUUAUUGAUAUUAACUUAUGUAAUUAUAUUACCAAGAUUGUUAUUUUUCUCUUGCAGUAUAAAUUACUAAAUAAAAUCUGUUAAAUGUGAUUGUGAAACA
ensembl:lncRNA